AGCAUGUGAGAGAAGAGUUAGAACGCCAGAUCGGCUUCGCACAUACAGUGUGCAUCUGCACACGGGGCCGCAAACACAUACGCACAUAUUUAUAUUUGUGGUCAGCAACUUGUUAAAUUGAGGGGGAAAUAUAUUUAAUCUUGGCCUGUGCUGUUGCAAAAAGGGCCGUCCCAAUUUAAUUUGCAGGCGGUGAUAGUUACAUGUGCUGACGUGCCUCGGUAUCCAUUGUGUACCAAAUUGGAUUUGUGUAUUAUUGCUUUCUAAAUUGCAUGCCUAGUUCAGCAAAAUUGUUCAUCAGUGUUUACUGGCUUUAUGCUUAAUAAGAUGCCCCACAAUACCUUGCUGCCAGGGUGUAAUGCAGCCAGUAAUUGCCUAGUAAAAAUAAAUUACAUAAAGUCGGCAUUAUCAACUUAUCUUAAUCCUCUCACGCCACAACCAGUAAUUAAAUGCUGAGAAUGUUUUUUUCAAAAAAUAUAACUCAAUGAUUGUUACUUCACUCAUUUUAAUGACUGCAUUUGGGGACAGACAGUAAUUCCUUCAAUGUGAAGGGUGAGAUGGAGAGACGCCAGCUGGGUACGUCCCUGCGAGGCCACUUCCUUGGACUCAGGGCAGGAGAGAUGAUACAGCCCCUGCUGUCCUGAGGUGACCACCCAUGUGUGCAGACAGGCCAUGUGCCAGGAAAUGCAUGAGGGGUCCAGGUGGGAGAAACCACCUCAAAGCACACCAGGCAUUUGUACAUUGUGUACAAGUCUAAACAACAAGCUUCUCCCAAGCACUUUUUAUGUACCAGAUUGAGUCCAAAUCUUUGAGGCGAUUCCUGAAAUAAAUUGUACUCAGCUGGGUUGGGCCUUGCUGCAAAUGGCAAAUAAAUGAAUUCCAAGCAGAAAUUGGAUUACAUCUGCCCACAAAUGCAGUAUGCUUAAUAUCUUCAAAGAUCUCCUUUCUUGCCCCUUAAGACAUUUGAGGGGUAUAGUAAUAUACACGCCAAGAGGACACACAUGCAAAUAUCCACGUGCCAUGCCCAAUACAGGUCCCUUUCCAACAAAGCAGUUUUGAGCAAUGUAAGAACAACAUGCCUUUUUAUUAGAGACCUCCAGCAGUUUAGGCUUGUAAAUCUGCACAUAUUUUAGAUUUGUUAACUCUAAACUGCAGGCCAGUGUGAUUAUUUGAAUAUGUCCAUGUCAUCCUGUCAUUUCAUGUUAAUCUUCCCUUGAACUGUAAUCACAAUCUUGGCAGUCAGUCCAAUGGGGUGGCAGAGACUUAGGGUCAGGGCAGACAGAGAGGAAGGUUGUGGAUCUGGGGCUCCCUGUCAGUCUAAGACCCCCUUAAGUAAGUUUCCUAAUGCCAUCAGCUGCUGUGUCCAGAGAGAAAAAUCUCUCAAAGCCUGCAAAAAUGACAAUAAUGACCUGCAUUUGGGGUAGAUUCUUGUCUGUGGCUACUAUUAUUCUGUCAUCAGUACUCUACUAGUUAGGAUGCACAGGAAGUGUCCCCAUUUGACAGAAGACCAGAGAAGCUGCUGUGACAGAGUUGGGUCUAGAACCUUGUUUCCUGCUUUUUACUCUGCUUCUCAUUCACUAGACCCCAUGACCAGUGAGUGCAACCUCACCACAACCAUUGAUGCUGAAUAGGAACCUGCAAAUCCAAUGGCACUGCCAGAAUCAACUGAAUGGCUCUGAGAAGGCAGCCCUCAGAAAUCUGGGAAAUUCUCUCCUAUGGAUGAUCACAGGUUCUGGGAUGCAGAGCAAACAGGGAGCUAAUGGAAGCACUCAGGAUGAUAGAAUUCUAACUUCAUGAAAACAUGUUUGAUUGUGGGUCCCAGUAAAGAUGUCCCAGUUCUCGGCCAGAAUCUUUUCUGAAGACUGAGCUGGAGGAGGUACCCGUUCUGGAAUGGUCUCAAAUGCAACCUGCAGGUUUGGCCCCCUGGAGGAAGUGAGAAGAAUGGAGAUGAACACGUUUCUUGUGUCAUGUCCUCAUUCUGCCCAAGACAC
rnacentral:lncRNA from 1 species